GCUGGAAUGUCUGUAAAGGGGAGUGGGGCGGGAGGAUAUUCUCACGAAAUCAUGCAUGUAUCACGCUAGUCAGCUUUCUGCUGGCCUAUCCCAUUUUAGAAAGACACACCUGUUGAUGUGUAGCACAAGCUGAUUGGCUUAUUAGAAAGAAUGCACCUGUGCAGGGAGGGGUGAAGACCUACAUGUAAGCCAAGCCCUAAGUCCUCCUCGGUCUCUUCUUGUUUCUCAUCUUAAACAAGCAGCAUCGCUCCAGGGCUCCCAAGAUGACGAACAAGAAACUCUUUCAUAAGAAGACGACUUCACAUGGUUUUUUUGUUGGCCCUGGUUUACCCUUUUUUAUUUUUUGAUGUUUGCAUAAGUGUUUUGGCUUUGCACAUUUCUUUUUAUUUUGUUUUGCUGUUUUUUUUUGUUUUUUCUCACUCACACCCUGAGACAAAAUACCCAGAAGAAGUCUUGAAGAAAACAGAAGGUGAAAGUCUACAAUUCCGCAGAUUUUUUUUUCCUUUGUUCAUUUGUACCGCUUCCUUCCUUCUUCUGGUUUCGAUGGUUUCGUCAUGUGAACUUCUAAGCUUGCAUCCUCGGGUGAAGUUAAAUUAAUGAAUGUUGUUUGCUGGUUUCAAGAUACUCCUUUGGAUCCUGUGGCGCUAUUGCCAUCUUACUGGGCAGCAUUGGAUUAUGUCUAUGUUUCUAAUACUGCCUGGUAAUGAUGAUUAUGGCGUCCCACAUACAACGUGCGGCAAGGUGUCAUGCCAGUAAGAAGCCAGAGGUUAGUAGAUAAUUACCAUGUUUUAUAUCCCCAUAUACAGUAUGUGUCUAGGUCAUUUUAUUGCAGUUGAAAUUCUUUAGCUGCUAAAGUUAUAAUAGCUUUAUGAAAGAACAUCAUUCAAAAAAACACACUAAUUUUGACUUGUCAUUUUUAUCCCAAAUUCAUUUUUGAUCAUUGUGAAAGCUUAGGCAACCAAAACGAAUUCAUAGCACAAAAUCCAUAAUUUUAUAAUUGUUUUGCAGUUAAUAUUCAUAGCAGAAAUUAAAUAGGGAUAUAUGAACUUGAGGUAUAGAAACAAUCCCCGUAUGGGGAUCAUUUGUAUUAGAUCUCAGGCCAGUGUUGAUAAUUCACUUUCCUUGGGGCCUACCUUACCUUGCACAAUACGUAACGGUGCAUGUGAAUUCAUACCUCUUUGGAACACCAGCAUAAUAAAAAGGUGUUCUUUAAAAAAAAUCCUAAAUUUGUAACUGCAGUAUAAGAAAAAAAAAAAAAACUCUUCACAAUGGACUCUUCCAUCCAGCUCUGGGACUGUUUUACUAAAAUGUGUUCAGAAUUACACCAGGGCAGUUGCCCAUAGCAACCAUGUAACUGGUUGCUAUGGGUGACUGCGCAUCCUGCCUGACUUUGAAGAGAAUUGAAAGAAAGUUAAAAUGAAUGAUAUUUCUUUUGCACUUUCACAAGUACUGUAAACAGACUAUUUGUUCUUAAUAAAGUAUUAGGCAGAACACAUUUAAAUGUAAGCCCACUUAAUUAGGAUCAUGUUUGUGUGAUCAAUUUAAGUUAUUCAAGUUCAGUUAAGGAUUGGGAACAUAUACAUUUGAGAAUAUUUUGAAAAGAACAUUUUUCAAUUGAAUUAACACAUAUAUAUUUAUAGUUAGUGGCCCUUUAACCCUAAAUGACAAAGAAAGGCAAAUUCAUUGGGGGUGCCAUGUUAGGGACCCACCAUUGAAUUCAAUGGCUACUUUAUACUCUGGGCCAGUGCUUCCUUUAUGAUAUGUAUCAACCUAGUAAAAAAAGUAGUUUUUCACUGUGCCACCAUCUUUCUUACCUUUCCUUAACAUCCCUAGGGAAGGCUCAGGAACGGCAUGAUUAAUUUGAAAUUCUGCCAUGGGGAGAAUGUAAGAAAGAUGGCGGCUUGGUUCUUUUCAUAAAAGAAGCACUGGCUUUGGGGAAAAACGUAGUAUUUAAAUUCACUAGAGGGUGCUUAACAAAUAAGCAUCCCCUAUAAAUUUGGCUUUCUUUGUCAUUUAAUCAAGGAUUAGUAAUAUUAAAUAAGCUUUGGACACAUGAAUUCAAAACUACUGCAGUCUGCAUGAUAUCCUCUUAUUGCUGCCACUUCCCUCUUUAAAAUUCUGCUCCUCUUCUCCUUAUUUUAUUAUGACUGUACUGUCCUUGUGGUUCGGCAAAUGGACUCAAGCUUGAUGUGCCCUCUUAAGUCACAUUGGUUAUAACCAUUAUGAAUGUAAUGCUUGAGAGAUUCUCCAUUAAAUAGAAAUGUUUUAUGAUACAGUUGCAAAGAUCUGCAUGAGCAAGAAGUGCAUGGUCAUCCAUAUUGAUUUGAUUCUGUAUGCAGUGUGAUUUCUCAUUUACAGAAGCAUGGUCCUCUAUGGACAUCUUACUAGACAGUGCUGGAUUUAUUUUAUCUUUUCUAACACUGUCUGGUAACGAUGUUUAAAGAGUGAGCCACUGUACUCCGUGUUCUGGAUGAUCUCUUGGCGAAAACAUAAAAUGAAAGAUUUUUACUAAAUGAAUAAAGAUUUGUGGCUGAUCAGGAAAGACCCAUCAGGCUCAGUUUAUUUAGUAGAUUUAGUAUAGGCACAUGUUAAUUAAUAUUGUUAUGGUAAACCCAAGAGGUAUCUAUUAGACACAACAGAGGGAUCAGAAAUUAUGAUUUUGCCAAAACUUUGUACAGUAACAAUAUUAGGUCAGUUUAUAAAUGAAAAGCCACACAUGUCACAUACAAACUUUUUAUUGUUUUUCAUACUAACAUACCAUACAUGUCCUGGAACGGAGUUUUUCCAGUUGUUUUAUGCUUAAGAAUGCAAUGCUAUUUCUUUUGAUGGCCCACACACUUUUUCAUAUUGAACUAUAAGAUAAUCUUAUAGGGCAUGAUCCCUCAAAGUUAAUCAAGAAAAACAAAAAAUUAAACAGAAAGAAAAAUGCCCCUAUGUGGCACAUGCAUGGGUUGGUCUGGAGUUAUAGUGGCCAAACUUAAAGUACAAAUAUUCAGAUCAGCGUAAUAUGGCUACCAGUUAAUGUGAUGAUCAGUUAAGAGAUCGAGGAACUUACAAUGUGUUUGAUCAGCAUUAAGCUGGUUACACACCAUUAUUUUGUAACUUUUCUUCCCAGUGUGCAUUGGGCCCUAUAAUGAGCAAUUUGCUGAUCAAACUGUGAUGCAGGUGGUUAGUGCAUAGGGUUUGGAGCUAACCCUGACCUGAAUAGGAACUUAAAUUCAUAGUAUGUUUUAACGCAACUGGAUACUGUAUAUUCACAUAUAUUUGGAAUGAUCGGAGAUAAUGCAGGUAGUUAAGUAAUAAAAAAAUUUAUAAACUU